GCUGGGGUCGUGCCGCUGCUAUGAGCUGCACCAUCGAGAAGAUCCUGACAGACGCCAAGACGCUGCUGGAGAGGCUGCGGGAGCACGAUGCGGCCGCCGAGUCGCUGGUGGAUCAGUCGGCGGCGCUGCACCGGCGGGUAGCCGCUAUGCGGGAGGCGGGGACAGCGCUUCCGGACCAGGUCAGGCAGAGGGUAGAAGUCCAGUGCUCUCGGAUUCUGGGCACUGAAGGGUGGAGAGCGAGAGCUGUGGAUUUCCUUGGAGGAACACCAGGAUGCUUUGGAACUCAUCAUGAGCAAGUAUCGGAAACAGAUGUUACAGUUAAUGGUUGCUAAAAAAGCUGUGGAUGCUGAACCAGUCCUGAAAACUCACCAGUCUCACUCUGCAGUAAGAAACUUUGAAUAAAUUCGAAAUG
rnacentral:sRNA from 1 species